rnacentral:lncRNA from 1 species
GCGGUAUCUAAUCUAAUCUAAUACUAUAAUCUAAUAAUGCACAGCACUAUUUCUCUACUAGUGUUAUUUUUCUCUUAUGAUAAAUCAGCGAAGCCUGUUUGUUGGUCUGAAAAACUAUGACUGAAAAUAUUAUUUGAUGAUUUAUUAUGAGAGAAAAACAUUGUUGGCUGACAGAAAAAAUACGGCUUAUAGUGAGUGUGAUCAAAAUGGAGAUGUUUUUGUUCGAUUUAUUAUGAGAGCAGACGUUUAGUUCACUCGAUUUUCACCUCUAAACUACCAUUAACGAUACGAGCCCCUGCGGCAAACAACAAGGCCGGCCGCCUUAUGCUAAUCUCUCUCUCUGUCUCUCUCUUGUUUUUUUUUUUUUGGAUAAUCUAUGGUAUGUUAGUACGGCUUACUGCAGUGUAGGGCGCGUGAGAUGAGAUUCGUGGACGCAAACGGUUAGUUCGGUAGGUUCCCAAUUAAAUUGCUUGAGUGCAUGAGCGCCAUGCAUGGGAUCCUUCCGGGCGGCCGGCAUUUGCAUUUGGUUGGUUAAUAGAAUAUCUUCAAGAGUUUGGCAAAACAACUUAGUAUUCAUAUAAUUUUGGUAAAAUAAAAAAAAACUGUCUCUAAUAGUUGGGUAAAUCCACUUGGCAAAAAUAGCAACUUGGCAUAUCAUGACUCUCAGCACUUAAAAAUAGCAACUUGGUAUAUCAACUUGUCAUCGUGAUUUCUGGCGCCGUGUUUCCUUCCCCGCGCGCACAAAGCCUUCGUGUCUUUCCUUCCUCCGCCCACGCAAAGAAAAUGGCCUCUCCUUCGUCCGCGUGAAGAAAAGGUCACGCCGCCGCCGUUCUUCAUUUCUCCUCAACACAAAACCAAGCCGUCCAGCGUUCACGUACAUGAUUUCUUCUUUUUCCUAUCUUCGAUCUUUAUGCCUAGCUAGGGUAGUCGGCCUCUGCUAGGGCAAGGCCGACGCUAUGGGUAGUCAUCGUUCUUCUAGGGUUCAUGCUAGGUCUGGCGCC